CUCCAAACUACAAUCCCACAGAUCAACACUGUACUCCACAAAAUCAAAGAUAUCCAGGUCAUGGACCACCUUACCGCACUAGUGAGAGACACCAGGACACGAUACGAAAAGGUCUGGGAACCAUGGUUAUCAGGGAACUGGGAGAGCUACGGAAAUCCCACUACAGGGCCUUCCCAAAGUGCCAACACUUAACUAGACACCAACAGAGCCUCUCACCGCACCGCUCCGGACUCCG